UGAUCGAAUGGGAGAACAGUGCUGUG
rnacentral:piRNA from 1 species